rnacentral:lncRNA from 1 species
GUGGUGGCGUUAUACUAAUGGAGAGAAUUAGAGCAGGAAUUUUAUGUCUCAAAACCACAUGGAAAUGGUGUUUAGUUCAUCAUUCAGUUUCAUUAAGGUCCAGUGAGUAGGCCCAGUGGUGUCAAUUUCACAUAACAAACAUGGCAAUGGAGCGUUCUCGCAGUGGACAAUGAGCCAAAAUUUUUGAGUAGAAAAAAGUACAAGAAAGGAUCAAAGAUUUACCAAGUUGAGAGAAUUAUUAGCAGGCGGACAUCGAACAAGAAGGGUUUUGAAUACCUUGUGAAGUGGGAGUAUUGGACGCUCUGGGCAUGUUCGUGGGAACCAUCCGAACAUUUAAACAAACAUUUAAUAAGGAACCACAAUAACCCAUCAGUUUGCCCGGAAAGGAUACAGAAAGUGGCUUCUUUGCUUCUGGACGCAAUUUUGUCUGUUCUGAAAUCCAACGCAGCAAAAGUCAUACAUUCUGUUGAUGUAAAGAUUGAACAUGA